ACCGCUCGGCCCGGCGUGAGGGCGGCGGGAGAGCCCCGCGCUCCGGGCUGAGCCCGGGCCCGCGCAGGCGGCACCGCAGCCCUCCGGGGUCACCCUGCCGCCGCUCGGUUCGCUUACAUAAGGCAGUAGCGCCCGUAUCCCGUUUCCUGGUGCUGCCGCCCGCGCUCGGUGCACGCCCUGAAGUUUCGAAACUGUCCCCACGUAUUGUGCUGGGGACGCCGGAUCACAAAGCAAUGGGCAGCGCAGGAGAGCGCAGGGCUGCAGCAUCAGUCUGAAUAACUACAACAAUGAUCAAACGGAGAAUUUCCGAGUUCUUAAACGUCUGUACUGUUCUCGGGAACAGUAGUUCCGCAUACGACCCAAACUAAGGCACUUGAACCAAAGCAAGAUCUUGAGAUCCACACUGUCCCCCACCCCAUCUGAUUACAAAUAUGAGAAGGAUGGCAAACCAUGGCAGUGUGUUAGAGCUAAAUGAGUUUCCUGACUUCACAUUCCCUACUGCAGCAGGGCAUGCCAGUCCUGGCAGAAGAGUAACCACCAAGACCACAAAUAGACGGUACCUUUCCCACCCUGGUAACUACCAGAGGCAUUACUUGAGUUCUGCUUAUUUUACAGGGAUACUAAUUGGUUGUUUCAGCCAAGCUUAUGGGAAUAAUUUUUAAGUUCUAUUCAUACCACCUUUUAGUAGUUACAGCUUUAUAUUUAAUGUACCAAAAAUCAUGGUAAACUGUGUUACUGAAAAUGUGAUUAUGCACCCUGACCAAAUUCAGUCCAAAUUCUGUGACUUCCAGAAAACUGGCACAGGAGAAAUCACAUGUGUAGAUACAAAUUAUUCCAGACACUUCCAAUUUGAAGUAACAAGAGCACAGGAUUCUAAAGGAGUGAAUAUUGCUAUUGACUCAAUGGCUCAUGUACUAAGGAACAAAGCAAAAUAAAGUUAUUGCAAAAUUUUACAGGUUCUACAUGUUUGCUUUCAAAGUCAUGCUGCCUGGUAAGUAGCUAUAACAUGAGAGUUUUUAUAGCAGCAGGAGUAAAAUACAUAUAUGCACGCACACAAAAGGUUCUAAGGAACACAAAGCUUGUAAGAAAAGCAUUAAAAUGGUUGUGGGGUUGGUUUUUUUUUCACCAGCUUUAUUUUCUGUGUGUGUUCAGUUGUAACUCUUGGAGCAUGGCGAGAACAAAUCACUCCAUAAACACACCAGGUGCCCCACUGGCACUGCCCCAAGGCGGCUGUGCCCGGGUGAGCUGGGGCACAGCUUGGAGCGCUGCCCGGCUCCCUCGUGCGGUCCCGCCAGGAAAAUGCUGCUCUCUGGGGCUUUCCUAUGGAAUCCCGCUGCUUCUCACACUUACAGUAGAUUUUUAGCCACAGACGCAAAUGCCAAACCUUUUCCCAGUAUACAUAAAAAGUAGAAUUUUUUCUUAACUGAAGCAAUUCGGUCAGUUCUGAUAAUCAGUGAUGUAUUGACAGGAUAUUUUUAAAGGGGAAAAAUCAAGCCUUUCAAGGUGGAAAAAUAAUAAUUUGAGACCCCCUGAAAAACUACCUGAGGAUGGCUUGCUUGGAUUCACUAAGGAAAUAAGGCUUCUCUUUUUGAAUAACUCUGCUUCCCUAUCCACUUGUAGAAGUUGCCUGUUCCAAGAUACUCCAUAGCACUGUUGGAACUGUAUAGUAUUUUUUAAAAAUCAAAAAGUUUAAAAAAAAAUAAAAUAAAAAUCAAUUAUUUACAGCUGGA